rnacentral:rRNA from 1 species
AAAUUGAAGAGUUUGAUCAUGGCUCAGAUUGAACGCUGGCGGCAGGCCUAACACAUGCAAGUCGAACGGUAACAGGAAGCAGCUUGCUGCUUCGCUGACGAGUGGCGGACGGGUGAGUAAUGUCUGGGAAACUGCCUGAUGGAGGGGGAUAACUACUGGAAACGGUAGCUAAUACCGCAUAACGUCGCAAGACCAAAGGGGGGGGACCUUCGGGCCUCUUGCCAUCGGAUGUGCCCAGAUGGGAUUAGCUUGUUGGUGGGGUAACGGCUCACCAAGGCGACGAUCCCUAGCUGGUCUGAGAGGAUGACCAGCCACACUGGAACUGAG